rnacentral:ncRNA from 1 species
GAACAUAAAGGUUUGGUCCCAGCCUUUUUAUUGUUUUGUGGCAAAUUUACACAUGCAGACUCCUCAUACCGUGAGAAUGCCCUUAGUAUCAACCCAGAUCAAGAGGAGCAGGCAUUAAGCACACCAAGCAGUAGCUCAGGAUGCCUUGCUUAACCACCCCCCAAGGGCAGCAGUGAUAAAAAUUUAGCAAUGAAUGUAAGUUUGACUUUAAGGAAUGGUAAAUUUCAUGCCAGCCACCACGGUCAUACGAUUAACCCGAAUUAAUAAACACCCAGUGUAAAGCGUGAUUAGAAAUAAGCAAAAAUAAAAUCAAAUAGCAACUAAGCUGUAAAAAGUAAUAGUUGUAAAUGAAAAUAAUCAAUGAAAGUGAUUUUACAACCUUCGAACUCGUGAUAGCUAAGAUCCAAACUGGGAUUAGAUACCUCACUAUGCUUAGCCCUAAACCUCAAUAAUUCCAUAACAAAAUUAUUCGCCAGAGAACUAAAAGCCAGAGCUUAAAACUCAAAGGACUUGGCGGUGCUUUAUACCCACCUAGAGGAGCCUGUUCUAUAAUCGAUAAACCCCGAUAAACUUUACCACUCUUUGCCAACUCAGCCUCUACACCACCAUCUUCAGCGAACCCUAAAAAGGAACAAAAGUAAGCUUAAUUACUCCCAUAAAAAUGUUAGGUCAAGGUGUAGCCUAUAGAGUGGGAAGCAAUGGGCUACAUUUUCUACUAUUGAAUAUACGAAAGCCCCUAUGAAAUUUUAAAGGCCAAGGCCAUGAAGCAUGCACACACUGCCCAUCGCUCUCCUCAAACACUAAACAUUUAUUAUCCAUAAUUACAAAAUAAAUAGGUAUAAGAGGAGAUAAGUCGUAACAAGGUAAGCAUACUGGAAAGUGGGCUUGGAUAUUUCAGAGU